rnacentral:sRNA from 1 species
UGGUUUUCAAAAAAUCUAAGUGUUGAAUUUCAAUGCAUUGAAAACAAAGCGGACGGACUAAGCAUCCUGUCCCAACCUACGGGUCUGUAAGAGGUGUUAUUAGUUCAACCGCUUUUCACGCAAGUAAAUUUAACUCUUAAAUACUUUUUUUAAAGGGUUUUUGUUACAAAUAUAUU